GGGCCUGUAGCUCAAAUGAUUAGAGCACGUGGCUACAAACUGCAGUGUCUGGGGUUCGAAUCCUCCUCGCCUG
rnacentral:tRNA from 1 species